UCCAGUUGAAUUCUUCAACUGAGAAGAAAAACUCAGUGAGCUGUGGAUGUAUGUGUUGGACGUAGGAGAGAGCCGGGGGCCGGUGACUGGGGUUUCCAAGAGUCAUCCAGAAGGACAGGGCCUCACUGUGUAGCCCUGGAUGCCCUGGAAUUUACUAUGGAGACCAGGCUGGUCUUGAACUCAUGGAGAUCAGCUUGCCUUUGCUUCCCAAGAGCUGGGAUUAAAAGUGUGCACCAUCAUGUCUGGCAUUACUUCUAAUAUCACUGCUAAGGUUGAAGAAAAGGGACCGUGCCAUCAGGGUUGGAACAAGGAGACCUGGUUUCUGGUUUGAGCUCUGUCACUAGCUGUGUGACACAGGACACAUCAAUUAGCCAUUUGAAAAGUGGGGCCAAUAACAACCCACUCGAGCCUCACAGAGCUGAGGUGAGGACAGACAGAGCUCUGGCACAGAAACACCCUUCUGAAGCAAACAUGGAUCUAGCCGUUUGGCAGAGGUUCCUCAUCCACCAUCUUGUCUACCAUCCCAUGAGGAUCAGCACCUAGUGCCCCCAGAAGCCAGAAGAAGAUGUUGGACCCCCUAGAGCUGGAGUCACAGACAGUCCUGAGCUGCCCGAUGUGGGCAUCAGGAAUGAAGCCUGGAUCCCCAGCAAGAAUAGCAAGUGUUCCUAACUGCUGAGUCACCUGCCCAGCCCCUACAUAAAGGUGAAAGCUGUGGUUUCUGCAUCCAAAUAGGCAAGCACUCUGCCAACUGGACCAACUUAUUUGGUGUGUCUGCACCUUCCCACUGAUGUCCUCACACAGAAGACACAGAUGCAGGAAGGCAGACCAGAGAGCAAUGAUAAGGACAGACUCCGGGCCCAACGUGACAGGCCUGAGACAUGGGGUCUCCGUAAGCUGGUGGUACCACUGCAGAGAGCCAUCAGCCAUCAAAGGGUGAGAAAGAGCAGUGCCCGUGUGACAAAGGCAAAGAAAAUAGCUGAGAUGAAAGGGUGAGAAAAAAAAUGUCACGCCUUUGAUCCACUGCAUUGUGGUAACGCGGUUCUGUCCCUGCAUUGCAGUAACACGGUUCUGUCCCUGCUGUUCUUCCCAACAACAUAUCUGGGGCAUUUGCAUCUGAUCCCAGCCAUUUGUUGGGAGAGGAAGAGACACAGCCUGAACUUUGAAAGCUGUGCAGUGGCCUAUCCAGAACCCGCUUUCCUGGCUCACAGGAACGCCACCAGAUGUGACAAAAAUGAACCUCCUUUCACGAUCCAUUUAAAUUCUGGAAAUCCCUCCUGAAUUUAGACUACUGCAGGGGACUAUUUUUACCAGGGUCUUUCAACCCCAGCUCUGAGACACAUCAGAGGUAUCCCCCCAGAAGCCCCACAGCACUGGAAGUCUUCAGCCAUGCCAGAAGCCCAAGGCCACAGGGAGGCAGAGCGGGCCGGGCAAGGCCUCCUGCAUGGCCAUGCUCCCCCACCUGCGCUUUGAACUGCAGAGAAGCUGAACAAGCAGCAUGGCCAACAGGGCAGAAUGAAAAUGUGCUCAACUUGGCA